GAUGAAGAACGCAGCGAAAUGCGAUACGUAAUGUGAAUUGCAGAAUUCAGUGAAUCAUCGAAUCUUUGAACGCAUAUUGCGCUCUCUGGUAUUCCGGAGAGCAUGCUUGUUUGAGUAUCAGUAAACACCUCAACUCCCUUUUCUUUUUUGAAAUUGGAGCUGGACUUGAGUGAUCCCAACGCUUUCUUCCAAGAAAGUGGCGGGUUGCUUGAAAUGCAGGUGCAGCUGAACUUUUCUCUGAGCUAUAAGCAUAUCUAUUUAGUCUGCCUAAAAAACAGAUUAUUACCUUUGCUGCAGCUAACAUAAGGGAGACUAGUUCUUGUGCUGACUGAUGCAGGAUUCACAGAGACAGCUUCGGCUGACUUUGUAAACUCGAUCUCAAAUCAAGUAAGACUACCCGCUGAACUUAAGCAUAUCAAUAAGCGGAGGA
rnacentral:misc_RNA from 1 species